AGAAAACACACGUGACUCCAGUCAGCACGCGAAAACCACUGUUGGAGUCGGGACCAACAUGUCAGUGUGGCUGCUGCAGGGCCACAACCUGUCUUCUGGCUGGGUAAUGACACCCUGAGGGUGUCUGCUGCACUGUUUGCAGAGAACCGUCGCUGACUAUGCAAAAGGCUGAAAGACAAAGACAGCGUGAUGCAGGGAGGAGAGCAGACACGGAGGAACUGUAUGGCCACAGACCUCCUUUUCAGACAGGAGUCUUUCUUUCAUUGGGCUUUUGGAGUAACCGAGGCUGACUGUUAUGGAGCCAUUGAUGUGGACUCUGGGAAAUCCAUCCUUUUUGUUCCCAAACUGCCUGAAAGCUAUGCUACUUGGAUGGGAGAGUGAGUCACUCUGAUCUUCAAAGAGCUGUGUACAUGGCCAGCAGUCAUCACCAGCUGGUCCAUAGCUGUGAGAUGUAACUUGAAGAAUGGCUUGAUGGAGUCAGGUGCUACACAGUUAGAUGUUUUAUAGCAACAAAAAUCUAUUUUUAUAUGAAUGUUUGUAUUUAGUUUUUUGUAUUGUAAAUGCCACCAAGAACUGUUUAAGACUUCACCUAACAUAUCGUUAUUGAUAGCCAAGCCUGCUGAAGUAUUUACAGUGUACACGUGUAAGAGUAGAUACAUGAAAUCAUUUGUGUUUAUUUAUUCUUUUUAAUUUAUUGGUUGUUUAGGAAAUUUUAUAUCCUCUUUCAAAUGGACAAAAAUACAACACUGAAAUAACAAAAACUGGCAGGUGAGCAAGACUAUUCUAGACAUUUGGUUGCUUUCUUUAAAAACCUGAAAACAAGGCUACUUAUUUUUUUGGUUGUGGAUUAAAAGAGAUGGUGC